rnacentral:rRNA from 1 species
AGCGAACGCUGGCGGCAGGCCUAACACAUGCAAGUCGAGCGCCCCGCAAGGGGAGCGGCAGACGGGAGAGUAACACGUGGGAACGUACCCUUCAGUUCGGAACAACCCAGGGAAACUUGGGCUAAUACCGAAUACGUCCGUAAGGAGAAAGAUCUAUCGCUGAAGGAUCGGCCCGCGUCUGAUUAGCUAGUUGGUGGGGUAACGGCCCACCAAGGCGACGAUCAGUAGCUGGUCUGAAAGGAUGAUCAGCCUCACUGGGACUGAGACACGGCCCAGACUCCUACGGGAGGCAGCAGUGGGGAAUAUUGGACAAUGGGCGCAAGCCUGAUCCAGCCAUGCCGCGUGGGUGAUGAAGGCCCUAGGGUUGUAAAGCCCUUUCGGCGGGGAAGAUAAUGACGGUACCCGCAGAAGAAGCCCCGGCUAACUUCGUGCCAGCCGCCGCAGUAAUAC